GCUUCUUGCGCCGCUGGGCCAGGCUGAGGCCAGGCUCUGCUCCAGGACAUGGCUCUGCUCCGGAUCGGCAACACCCUUCGGCCCUUGGAGAAGGACCCUGACCCCUCAGUCUGUCCCCUGGCAGCUCAGGCCGUGCUGAUCCUGGGAGCUCCACAGGAGCAGCAAAGAUCAGAAUGGUCCCUCCGAGCACUGUGCUGCCAGUCCUGACAAGAUGGUUCAGGGACAAAAUCCCACCCCUGUGUGGGUUUUGCUCCUGCCCUCAGCUUUGCUUCCCUCAAUAAACCACCUUUUUCUCCA